UNGUAAGCAGGAUAUAGCACUGAGGAUUC
rnacentral:piRNA from 1 species